UGGGGAAUAUUGCACAAUGGGCGCAAGCCUGAUGCAGCCAUGCCGCGUGUGUGAAGAAGGCCUUCGGGUUGUAAAGCACUUUCAGCGAGGAGGAAGGUGGUGAGCUUAAUACGCUCAUCAAUUGACGUUACUCGCAGAAGAAGCACCGGCUAACUCCGUGCCAGCAGCCGCGGUAAUACGGAGGGUGCAAGCGUUAAUCGGAAUUACUGGGCGUAAAGCGCACGCAGGCGGUUUGUUAAGUCAGAUGUGAAAUCCCCGGGCUCAACCUGGGAACUGCAUUUGAAACUGGCAAGCUAGAGUCUCGUAGAGGGGGGUAGAAUUCCAGGUGUAGCGGUGAAAUGCGUAGAGAUCUGGAGGAAUACCGGUGGCGAAGGCGGCCCCCCUGGACGAAGACUGACGCUCAGGUGCGAAAAGGCGUGGGGGCAGCAAAACAGGAUUAGAUACCCUGGUAGUCCACGCUGUAAACGAUGUCGAUUUUGGAGGUUGUGCCCCUUGAGGCGUGGCUUCCGGAGCUAACGCGUUAAAUCGACCGCCUGGGGAGUACGG
rnacentral:rRNA from 1 species